UUUCUGUUUCUCACAACUGUUUGCUUUUAUUCGGGAAAAGAUUCAAUGGGCAUUUGAGAAAAAAAGGCAUCAGCGGACACAUUAAGGUAGACUAUGAGGAGAAGGUUUUAACAGUGGAGGUUAAAAUGCCUCAAGAUGCAUCUGGCAACACUGUUCGGGAUACAAGAGGGCUUUCAGGUGGAGAACGAUCGUUUUCCACUCUUUGCUUUGCUUUGGCUCUCCACGAAAUGACUGAAGCACCUUUUCGAGCCAUGAAUGAAUUUGAUGUAUUUAUGGUAAGUAGCCAUUUAGAUUUUCCCUGUAAACUGUUUGGUAUUUUGAUAUUCCUGAUUUAGCUCUAUUCAAGUUUUUGCUUAUAUUUAUAUGUAACAAACAAACUUUUUAGGGAGUUUAUUUGCAAUUUUGUUU